GAAAAUAAAUCUUUUAGAGUGAAAACAAUUGAGACGAAGUUGUUAAUAAUAGAUUACCGAGAGAAAUAGGUAAAAUAAAUUUCCAUCCAAGAUAUAAUAAUUGAUCCAUUCUUAGCCUAGGCAAAGACCAUCUUGUUAUGAUAGAAACGAAUAAGAAAAAAUAAGUUUUAGCUAAUGUAAUAAAGAGAUCAAUUGUAGUUCCAAAAACUCUAUAUGUUUUAUUGAUUUCAAAAAACUCAUAAACGAAUAUGUACAGAAUAGAGAUAUUUGAACUGCCCAAGUAAAGAACUGUUACAAAUAAUGAAGAAAUUAAAAGGUUUAAAUAGGAAGCAACGUAAAAUAAACCAAAUCGAAUACCCGAAUAUUCUGUUUGAUAACCCGCUACUAAUUCUUCUUCUGCUUUUGGUAAAUCAAAAGGUAAUCUUUCACAUUCUGCUAGUGAAGAAAUUAGAAAAACAAUGGAACCAAUAGGUUGACGCCACAAAUUCCACCCCCAAAAACCAUAUUUUGAUUGCGCAUCAACUAUAUCAAUUGUACUUAAAGUGUUAGAUAAUCCUAGUCGGUGAUAACAUUACUGUUCCCAUCUCUAUUACAGAACCGUACAUAAGAUUUUCACCUCAUACGGCUCCUGGAAAGCCUUAAGUAAAUCUAAGGACCGGGAGGAU
rnacentral:lncRNA from 1 species